CGGCGGACGGGUGAGUAACGCGUGGGUAACCUACCCUGUACACACGGAUAACAUACCGAAAGGUAUGCUAAUACGGGAUAAUAUAUUUGAGAGGCAUCUCUUGAAUAUCAAAGGUGAGCCAGUACAGGAUGGACCCGACGUCUGAUUAGCUAGUUGGUAAGGUAACGGCUUACCAAGGCGACGAUCAGUAGCCGACCUGAGAGGGUGAUCGGCCACAUUGGAACUGAGACACGGUCCAA
rnacentral:rRNA from 1 species